GGAAAAGAUAAUCGUCCAGAGAGCAUGGCUUGUCAUGACAAGAAUGUUGGGCACUUGAAUGCUACAAAUGCGAAGACUGUGAACAAAAUACGUACAACACUGAAUCAUGUAUUAUACACCAGUUAGCCAACGAAAUGUGUGGAAAAUUCAUUUCCUCGUCCGGAGGUGUUAGUCGAAGAUGUAUUGACGAAUUGGAAUGUACAACAGCGAACGAGUGUACUUUUGGUAACAAGAAAAACUGCUUCAUGUGCUGUUCAACUGAUCUGUGUAAUGCCGCCACUCCAAGUGUCAUUACCACCUCAGCCACCAGUUUCGUCGUUAUCAUUGCUACUACAAUGAUGAUGUUGCUCAUUAUGUAGUGCCUAACAUGUAACUACGAGUCAACAUAAACUUGCAGGCAUAGAAUUUAAGUUUGCAUAAUUUUAAGGUUUUAACUAGAUUUGUAUAAUAAUUACUUCUGGACAGGUCAAAAGUUACACCUGGUUAUACUAAUUAUAGGUCAACAUAGCUCAGUUAUACUACUAUUAAUUGUUGAGUUUUCCACCAAUCAGCAGCAAGUUCUAACUUUCCAAUCACAUAAGUAUUUCCCUGUUUAGAAUCACUUGUAUUAUUUUCCAGAAAAUAAUUGAAACAACUCAAUCGAAACGUCAAGACAUUCUCUCUCAAAAGAAAAAAAAUGUUUAUAUAUGCUGUACGAUUAAGGAUUUAAUUAUUACUCUGCCAUGCAAACCUUCAAACAAUAGCUCUAUUGUUAUUAAAAUGUUAUGCAUUAAAAUUUUCAAUGUCUCAACAUCGAGAAAGGAUUAGCCUACCUCUACUUUUUCAAGUUUCUCCAGUCGUACACUUUUCCCUGUUCGCAUAU